GGGGGGAGCAAGCGUUGUUCGGAUUUACUGGGCGUAAAGGGCGCGUAGGCGGCCAGCGCAAGUCAGUUGUGAAAUCUCCGGGCUUAACUCGGAACGGUCAACUGAUACUGCGCGGCUAGAGUGCAGAAGGGGCAACUGGAAUUCUCGGUGUAGCGGUGAAAUGCGUAGAUAUCGAGAGGAACACCUGCGGCGAAGGCGGGUUGCUGGGCUGACACUGACGCUGAGGCGCGAAAGCCAGGGGAGCGAACGGGAUUAGAUACCCCGGUAGUCCUGGCCUUAAACGAUGGAUGCUUGGUGUCUGGAGUUUUAUAGUCUCCGGGUGCCGUAGCUAACGCGUUAAGCAUCCCGCCUGGGGAGUACGGUCGCAAGACUG
rnacentral:rRNA from 1 species